GGGCAGGAACAACAACAACAACAUCCGGCCGGCAGCACGCCACGCCCCGCAACGCACGGGAACACGCCAUGGGCGGCGGGGGCGGGCGCUGCGCUGUUUAUUAAGGUUGGAAAAGACCUCAAAAACCAUCUGGUCCAGCUGUCAGCCCAUCAUCACUGUGCCCACUAACCAUGUCUGUAAAUGCUACAUCUACACAUUCCCUGAACACCUCUGGGGAUGCAGUCCUAAAACUGGGAAAACUGGCCAAGUUUCAUAUUGGCAAAAGCUAGUGAAAACCCACUGGUUUCAGUGAAGCUUCAUAUGCGAGUUCACUCCACAAAUGAAUUGGUGGAUAUCACACAAGUAGUCACACCUUCACUGCUGGACCCCUGGCAGCCACUCACUGUCAGCCAUGAGACACUUGCUCGGCCAGAAUAGAGCCCAUCUGUGCCUCCUUAUCACCACAUUUACUUGCCCAAAAUGGUGAGAUACCUCUCCUAUCAACAGUGCAUUGUCCUUUUACAAGGAACAAUAUGAAUAUUGCCAGUCUUGUACUGAUUGUAUUUUUAAGCCACUUAUUCUCUUGAUAUCUAAAUAAAAGAUGGUGGGUUUAAAGUUCAA